AUGGCAUUUUUUUCAUCUCCGAAAAGAAGAAUCAUUUUUCGCCAUUAGUUGUUUCAAUAUGUGUCACGGAAGACCAUAUUGUAACCUCUCGUUCAACUUGGGUGAUUAUUGUUAUAUCCCUCCGCCAUUUAGAUACGUGUUGACACUAGAAGUAACAUUAACCAUCUUGUUGACUCCGCCCGAAGCUAUGCCUUGCUUGACCACCCACUUUGAUGAAGGGGGCAUCAAUAGCCCACGCCCUUAACCACCCGCUCUCAGCACCCUGGGGUAAGGCCAUUCACUUCUUUCAGAAAGGGCUAGCCACUUGCUUUUUAAGUGUGAACACUCCUCAAGCACGAAUCCGCCCUCAAGGUCAUGUUGGGCCCACCAAAGUGUAACACUCUCAUACCUAUUAAAAUUCUUAGUCCUUUAAAAUGAUGAAAUUAUAAUUUAAUAAAUGAUAAAAUUAUGUUUUAACCUCUCCAAAAAUUUUAAACUUUAAAAAAACACCUUCUAAUUUUUUUAAAAUUCCCUUUUAUAUUUACUCAAACAAAUAAAUUUAGUUUUUAUAUUUUAAAAACCUUUUUCUCUAAAAUCCUCACCCAAACCCACUCUAAAAAUAACUAUAUAAUGUGUUGAACACAAAAACAAGAAAAUUCAUCACAAAAGAGAAAUCUCAUCUCACUCUGUUUUUUUUCUCCAAACAAAAAUGAGCUUCACAAAGCUACUUGACCUUUUCCAUUGCCUUGCCAAACUUAUUUCCAAUCUUUUACACUCUUUACGUCUCCCUGGUUUCAGCCAACCCUACAUUCCAUGGCGUGACACGUUGGAUACCGACACUUCCACCUUUGCCUUUGCUCUCCUUAUCGGUGAACACCUACCGGUCAUCAAGUUCUCCGACCUCAUCGACCCGCCAGAUAACUGCCCGUCUGUUUGUUCGAGUUUGAAGGGGAGGAUGAGAUUAGGCAGCUUAUGAAUUGUCGACAUAUAUUCCAUGGAAGAUGUUUGGACCGUUGGAUGGGAUAUGAUCAACAAACAUGUCCUCUUUGUAGAACCAAUUUGGUUCCCCAUGAUAUGGAAGAAAUAUUCUAUGAGAAGCUAUGGGUCCGUCUGGGACCACUGAAUUCUUUGUUGAUUAUCAUCAAAGCAAUGCUUUGUAGCCAUAGCUAUCAACUUUAAAGAGGUACAAUAAAAAAAAAGGUAAACUACCAAUAAUUACUCCACUAUAAAAAAUUAUAAAAUGCUCAGCUAACUAUUUUGGUUCGUCAUAAUUUGAUAGCUUAUAAAAUUGAUAUAAUAACAACUCUAAUUUUCA
rnacentral:lncRNA from 1 species